ensembl:lncRNA
UUUUUUUUUUUUACACCCAAUAGCAAAAUUUUAAAAUUUUAAAGGAAUAUCAUAAGUUCCAUGCCACUGGAUCAUCCAUCCUCCCCCAUCAACUUCCUGAAGAAUGCAAAUUGUUUUAAACAGCAGCUACACAAACUGAACGCUUCUUUUUAUAGUCUACAGGAGGUGUCACCCACAACCAGCAGUCUCUGCCAUGUUUUCUUAGAUAAAAAAAAAAAGUGGACAAAGGAUCAUAUACGCAUAUAUUUAAAAAAAACAGAAGCCAAAUAAACAAAAAGGCAUUUUGCCUGAGUCAUCUAUACGUAUUACAAUUUUCUGCCUCAAUCAUGUUUACGUACUGAAUUUUUCAAAAUUUUAAAGCCCUGUGAACCCUUAAACAGUACAGCAGCAGCAGGAGCUCACGUAAAUUUCAGUGAAGAAAGACUCCAGGGGCUGGCCUUACAACUUAUUGUACAUUUACUAGAUAGAUGUUCUCCAUGGCAAGAUUUUAUUACUUCAUAGUAGUCUAAUUCAUUAAAAUAUAUCUAUCAAUGAUCAGCAAUAGUUCACAUACUUGAAGUACAGGCAGGUUCAAUUUUUCCAUGAAAAGAAUAACCACCUGACAAAUAAAAAGUUGCUUCUGGAGCUGAGUCAUUUAUAUUUAUUAUUGAAAUUAAGGAGUCCUGCUCAACGAUGCCAAAUUUAGUCUGUUGUAUUCAGCACAUCAAUACCAGACGAUUCUUUUUCUCUGCAGUCCAACACAGAAGUGAUGAAAUAUAUUCUGUGGGCAUUUUCACUGGAGAAGAGAGAGGUGGUGGAUGGACGUAGGCACUGAAACUGCUCCCUGUGAUGCUUCCUGGAGUAGGAGAGAAAUAUUUGUUGGGGGCCUUAUAGGGGAAACAUAGCAGACACCACAGCAAACCAAAUCUAAACUUCUCAGGCUUCCAGACUCCAGUGGGUUAGAGUAUGCUUCCCAUACCAGUCUCCCCAACUUGCUCUUAAACUGCUUACAAUAUAUCCAAGAGUUUUAUAACCAUAAUGCAAACUAGCAGAUGAAAGCAGAAGGAAACUAACGGAUACAUGUCAGUUACAAAAUUAUCUUCAAACAGUAUCUCAUUUUGGCAGGUCAUUAAAUGGCAGGUCAAAAAUAUCUGUUGCCUCCUGGCAAUGUAAGGAGAGUACCACCAGUUAGAUGCUAUCAAACAUUUAUCUUUUUUUUCCCCUGUUCCCCAUCAGAGUUUCCUGAUCAAUUUAUCACAUAUGGUUUAUCAUUAAAAUCUGGCAGUCUUCAACGAAUUUACAUUUUUGCAUCUAAAGCCUCCUUAACUCCCUAAAAAACUGUAAUACUCACACUUAGAGCUCACAUCAUUGCUAUUACUGAUACAGCACACACUCCUUUUAUAACAGCAUUAGCUAGCACAUAAUUUUAUUUCCAACAACGGUCAAACAAAGUACCAUGUGAAAUUACCAAAAAUUAUUUCAGACCAUGAGAUAGCAGAGUUGCUGAAAAUGUCUUCUUGUCUAAAACAGAUAAAGGUAGAAAACAAUAUGAAUUAACACAGCUGCAAAUCUUUACUGUCUUGCUGCUGGUGAGGUUCUCUUCUUCUGAAGAUCCAAAGACUUUAAAUGGGUGAUGCUCGUCCCCAGUUUAAAAAAAAAUCCAGGACAGAUUUUAUGUGAACACACAAUAAGAAUCAGCUAACACAUUUCAGAUAGCAUGCAGAGCAUUAUUAAGAACUGACUAGGAACACAAACUUGUCAUUACCAGCAGAAUUGACUUCUGUGAUAUUUCAACUUUUCCCUACAGCCCCAGAAGCUGCCACUGGACUGCAUCCAAAUUCAACUGUCAAUUUCAAAAAUGAAAAAAAAAAAAAAAAAGAAAAGAAAUCAUAAUUUUUUAUGGUUGUGAGUGACAUUUAUGUGAGAAAAAAAUGGAAAAGUUAACAUCUUGAAUGCAAGAAUAAUGAAAAAAAAUCAACAGUUGUUUUUUAAAUCUCAAGAGCCUUCACUGGGGAGAUGAACGCACCUUACCUUCCUCUACUACCUCCUACUGAAAUGAAUGGCAAUUAGCUGUUGACUGGUGGGUCUUGGAUUAGGUAUCCAAGCAUGAAGUGGGCUGAUAAAGAGACCAUGUGUUUUUGUUCAAGCACUACAGACUUUCUCCUCCUAUUACUAUUAAUAAGUCAUUUUUUAAAACCAGCUUCAUGAGCAAGUAGCUUUUUUUGCAUUCAGUAUCACAGAUGAUGCCUGCAUCCAGCUCUCUGUAUAUCCUAGAUCAGAUUUUCCUUUUCUUUCUCAGACAGUAUCUCAGCAACGGUGAACUCAUUAGCUUUUGCAAGAUAAUCAAUUCUUUCACAUAGCUAUAAAGUAUAAUAAAAAUAUAAUUCUUAAAGCAUGAUGAUGCUUACAAUAGUGGAAGAAUGUCUGGAUUUUUUUAAGAUUAAGAAAUUGGUCCUGAAAAAACAGACCACAUCUAUACUGAAGUGAGUGACUUUUGCCCCUGAUGGUCUGCUGGACUGGAUGGAGGAGACUGCACAGAGAUUCAGUGCUGUGGGCAAAUAUACAACAAGAGCUUGUGUUAAUCAUCAGAAGUUCCAAAUGCAAAGGAGAAGUGGGUAGCAUGACAGCAGGCUACCCUAGGCCUAGGACCUUCAGGACAGAUGAAGUGGUAGGAUUGCUACCUGCUACCCUGUGUGACAAGGAGAGGAGCUUACAGAGCCAUUUUAGCAGAUGCCUUAGGAACUGCAUAUGAUUUUUUAACACUAGAUUUCUACUGAUCAAAGUACUUUCAGUGCAGUUCUACUUGUAGACAUCUUCUUUCAACACUCACUCACCACAAGGAUGGUAGCUCCCCCAUUCACCAUACAGGGCCAGCCACCAAUAUUCCCUUGUUACAUCUGUAUAGAAUUUUAAUAGUCUUUCAUGUUCUGCCCACACACAUGGGAUGGCAGUCUUUUAACCACCUGCCAUGAGAAGAUUAUUUCAUUGUCCAUAAUGGAAAAGGCCAAACAUUAAAAUUGUUCAGGAAUCUUAAUAUGCCCGAAUUUGACACUUAUGAUCAAGAGCUGCCAAUAUAAAUUUGUAGCAAAACGUUUGCUUGUCUGGUUUGAGGCAGGUACAGUGAUGUUUCUACCAAUUCCUGUAACAGAAAUUCCUGGCAAAUGUUUUCCUCCACUCAAUCUGAAACAAUGUAGGUUACUGGGAAAAGAAGAAGCCUUGGAAGGCAUCCAAAUUACUCAAUCAUUCUGACAGCUAUGGGAGGCCAACUGCUGGAAAGAUUUUGUGAGAGCUAAAUGAAGCUGUUCUAACAAGACAUGUAUAAGCACAAUAUGAUACUUCGGCACAGAUCAGGUCACAACCUUUAGGCGCUAAAGUAAUAUUUGCAUGUUGAGCAGGAUGUUACCUUCCAGUCUGCCACUUUGUUUUGCUCAUUUUUUAAAAAUUCUCUUAAAUUCCUGGUAAUAGUAACACACUGAGCAUUGCUUCAUUGAUGAAGGAACUCAAGAAUACAUUACUGAUUUAUUUAUAAGCACUGAGAGGUGGUGGCAGAUCUGAGAACAGAGCUUUCAACUUUCUGUUCCAGUUUUGCUUGCAACACAAGAAAAUUCUGAUUUUCCACAACCCCAGCCUUAACUGCAAGUUUUUAACUUCUUUCAACUUUGCUCCUUCUUGUGGCCUCUGCCUAAUGUAUUUGUCCUUACAGGAGCGGGACUGACCAUGGGAAUUAGAAAGACUUUAGGCAAUUCAAACUGCUAUAUGGAUAAAAAGACCAGAUGAGAGCAGCCUGAAGUGCUACAGAGAACAAGUACCAUUAAUGGGAACAAAUACAGGCCAUACUGUGUAAUUUCCAUUAGCUCUGGGACAACAGAGAAUCUAGCAUAAUAAACGUCACAUAUAAUUUAUCAAUACCCAGCAUUCUCUUUACAGCACUCGAACAUUAAGAUUUAAUAUGCUUUUUAAGUUUUGUACAGAGUCCCAGAGAAGUCACUGGGUUCUCAAAUACUGGAAGUGAUCCCAUUAAAUAAUAAAAAUAUUUAAACAUGUGUGCAAAAGAGAGAAUACAAUAAACUAUAGUCCCAGUGAUUUUUCUACCUGUUUAAGUGUUAAACACAGGUCAUAUUUUGCAACAUGAGUGCUCUGAGUUAACAGUCCAUGGUCAAACAUGCUUCACCAGCUGCCAGCUAACUCAUCUACAGUGAAGGAGAGAAUCACAGAAUCAUAGAAUAGUUAGAAUUGGAAAGGACUUAAGAUCACUUAGCUCCAAUGCCCCUGCCAUGGGCAGGCAUGCCUCACCCUUUGAUCAUGACAUCCCAAAUGGGACUGUCCACCAUUACUGCCCAUGGCUCCAUACACUGCAAAGAACCUACAAAAGCACAGCCUCCAUCUUUUACAGGGUCUACACAACUUGAAGACCUGUCCUCUUGGGCCAGAUCUCAUCCAAAGCAUUGUUUACUAUGAAACUUCCAAGGAAAACCAAUGUUAUUGUGAAAUGUUCUUCCCUGCAAUUAAAUGGAGAUUUUGGAGUCUGACAAGCUAGGCCAUAUUACUAACAAAAUGCUGGGUUAGGGAUAUGGUUAGUGUUAAAGUUAAGGUUAGGAUUCAUUCUGAGUGAGCAUUUUUAUUUUAUUCCAGGGUAAGUAUUUGUUAAUUUAUGAAGUAUCUGAAAAUAACAAUUUUUUACCUGCAGUUUGUCUCUCAUUUGCUGCUUUGUGAAUUUUAUUUUUUUUAUAUACACUUUAAAGUCAGGGUAGGGAUUCCAAAAGGUUUGCCUGUGUUUUCUUUCAAGAUUAAUAAUCUGCAAGCUAACUAGGAGGAUGAUGCAGCCAGUAACUUACUCUCUGAUGUUUACAGCUAUCCCAAGAUGCCUACAACUCAAGAAAUCAUCAGCCUUCAUGGUUGUUUAUCAAAGCAUUCAAAACACGAAGUCAUAUAAAAAUUAUUUUUGAUUUUCUAAAUGAGUGCCUAACCGCUCAGCGUUUAUACAUACCUAUAUCUACAUUGCUUAUGUAGAAUGACCACUACAAGGUCAUCUGUGCAACUGCUUCCUUUUCAAUUUUACCCAAACUAAAGACCUAGAAUAUCAAGAGACGGGGUAGGGAACCCAGGGUGGAUAAGGUUUAGUUGUUUGCUGUUUUUUUCAGUGAAAGAACUAAGGGGAAUAAAACAGAGUUAGCAAGCAGCCAGCCUCAAAGCAAGCAAGAGGAGGUAGCUGUAAGCAGGUAAGCUGUGGGACUCCCUGCCAAAAAU